rnacentral:rRNA from 1 species
UACGUAGGGUGCAAGCGUUGUCCGGAAUUAUUGGGCGUAAAGAGCUCGUAGGCGGCUUGUCGCGUCGGCUGUGAAAACCUGGGGCUCAACCCCGGGCCUGCAGCCGAUACGGGCAAGCUAGAAUUCGGUAGGGGAGACUGGAAUUCCUGGUGUGAGACGGUGAAAUGCGCAGAUAUCAGGAGGAACACCGGUGGCGAAGGCGGCCCUCUGGACGGUGACUGACGCUGAGACGCGAAAGCGUGGGGAGCGAACAGG